UCUGAUUAUAGCGACACCUUUCGAACCUUUAAACGCCCAACAUUCACCGGGAAGGUUUCCAGGCUUUUUAAAAUUAAAAUAAUAUUAAUUGUAUAGAAAAUGUCAAAUUCAUUACAUUAUUUCAUAGAAAUCCAAGAAAGGAAUAAAUUAUUGUCCAAAGCGGUUGGAGAAGCCGUUCAGCGAUACGAAAAGAACUCCAAAAUUCCUCUAAAACAAUACAUCACACAAACAAAUCCUUGUGCUACGAUCAUGGGAAAAGAUUUAAUUGAUUCCAUAAAUAAACGACUCCAAGAAGAGGAAUCUUUAGAUGAAUUAGUUAAAAAAAGUAUGCGAAUAAUAGUAACAAAUGUUAUAAAUUAAGUUUUUUAUUGUAAAUUAAUUCAACAUAAUAAUUAUAAGCACCUUUAAAAUUAUAUAAUAUCUGUUCAAUGUUUGUUGAUAAUGUUGUAAAAAUGUCGUAACUGUCAUAAUAUAAGGUUUACAUAUUAUAUAAAAUGAGUUGGUCACCCUGGUUAUGAUAUUAAAACGAAACGUUUGUUUUAUAUACAUAUGUAGCUUUUUAUUUAAUAUCGGGCAUGUUUUACUUAGCUUUUGGAUCUGGAGAAAUUCAAGAAUGAAAUAAAAACUAGUAUGAAGAAUAAUCGGAAUAAUUAAAUAAUUUUUAUAAUGUCACUCUCAGUCACUCUCAUAAACGUCUAUUUCAUAA